CUCACGCUGCUCGGUGCUGUGCACACGCGUCCCUAAUCCCAGAUGCCCGGGAGAACACAGGCUCACGCUGCUCGGUGCUGUGCACACGCGUCCCUAAACCCAGACGCCUGGGAGAACACAGGCUCACGCUGCUCGGUGCUGUGCACACGCGUCCCUAAACCCAGACGCCUGGGAGAACACAGGCUCACGCUGCUCGGUGCUGUGCACACGCGUCCCUAAUCCCAGAUGCCUGGGAGAGCACAGGCUCACGCUGCUCGGUGCUGUGCACACGCGUCCCUAAACCCAGACGCCUGGGAGAACACAGGCUCACGCUGCUCGGUGCUGUGCACACGCGUCCCUAAUCCCAGAUGCCUGGGAGAGCACAGGCUCACGCUGCUCGGUGCUGUGCACACGCGUCCCUAAACCCAGACGCCUGGGAGAACACAGGCUCACGCUGCUCGGUGCUGUGCACACGCGUCCCUAAUCCCAGACGCCUGGGAGAACACAGGCUCACGCUGCUCGGUGCUGUGCACACGCGUCCCUAAUCCCAGAUGCCUGGGAGAGCACCGGCUCACGCUGCUCGGUGCUGUGCACACGCGUCCCUAAACCCAGACGCCUGGGAGAGCACCAUUCAUUCUGGAUGGCAGAGAAACCCUUAGAACAGAGCAGUUAACUGAAGAAGUUGAAACCAAAAGGGAAAUGUUUAUGUUUUGAGUCAGUCAGCCCUUUCAAGCUAUGACCUUUUUACCAGCUUAAUGUUUGUUUCUUGGUUUAGAGUUUAUAUUUAAUACCUGAUAGAGUUGCCAUAAAAUGCUCAUUUCUGUCUGUGGAAUUUUCCUUGGUUCACACACUGCAGACUUCCAUCAGAGAUCACAGCCCAGGUGUUGAAAGAACGCUCUUGCCAUUUAUUUAUUUAUUUAUUAAUCUUUAGCAUACCCAGAAUAGCUGUAGCACAUCUGAUCUAAGUUUUCUUUCUAUAAGGAUUCUUUAACCCCGAGCAGUUUCUAAGAGGAGCUUGAGACUUGAGAGCCCAAGGCUUUUGAUUUGGGCUUGACCUGUGGACACCUGGCACACACCCUGCCACCCGCUAGAAGGAUGUGUAACUCAGAGUCCUCUUCACCAUCACCCCUCCCUGAGGACUUGUUUCCGUUCAUGUCCCACAGUAAAGUUUCUUGUCAGUUCAUUCCGUUUGUUGAAAACAGUAAAAAAAUACGUUGAGCGCCUAUUCUAUGCCAGACUCUGUGAAGAGAAUGGGUAUCAGUGAGAGACGCCAACCCUUGUCGGAUCUGCAGCCUAGAGGGGGAAGAGACAGGAGGCAGGAAGCAGAACCACAUUCUAGCAGGGGAAAUGGACAGGAAGCAGGAAGCAGAACCAGGAAGCGGUGGCGUAGACGGGCCUGCAAAGGGGCAGCCAGUGCCCUAGAAAGCAGAGAAGCAGGGCUGAGCCCUGAGCUCCUGGUUGUGGGCGGGGUGGGCUGCACCUGAGCCCCGAGCUUCCGGUUGUGGGCAGGGUGGGCUGCACCUUUAUUUGGCCACAUUAAAAAGGGGCUAUUUGAGCUAAGACUUGAAAAAAUAAGAGAAUUAACUAUUCAGCUUUCUGUGAGAAGAGCGUGCUAAGUAGAUGGCCAGUGCCAAGGGUGGGGGUGUGCCUGUGUCAGGCAAAUCAGGAGGAGCAAGGGACGGGGCCGGAGCCAUGGGCCCAGGCAGCCUUGGUGAGGGGUUUCUCUGGCGUUUAUGCUGAGGGAAA
rnacentral:lncRNA from 10 species